GGGCCAUUAGCUCAGCUUGGUUAGAGUAUAACACGGCAAAUCGAAAGGUCGAGAGUUCAAAUCUCCCAUGGCCCACCA
rnacentral:tRNA from 1 species